rnacentral:rRNA from 1 species
UAGGGAAUAUUGCGCAAUGGACGAAAGUCUGACGCAGCAACGCCGCGUGGGUGAUGAAGCAUUUCGGUGUGUAAAACCCUGUCAGUGGGGACGAACCGUAUGGCGAGUAACUGCGCUAUACCUGACUGUACCCACAGAGGAAGUCCCGGCUAACUCCGUGCCAGCAGCCGCGGUAAUACGGGGGGGACGAGCGUUGUUCGGAUUUACUGGGCGUAAAGGGCGCGUAGGCGGGUCUGCAAGUCGGUUGUGAAACCUGUCAGCUUAACUGACAGCCUGCAUCCGAUACUGCCGAUCUUGAGUACAGGAGAGGAGAGUGGAAUUCCAGGUGUAGCAGUGAAAUGCGUAGAUAUCUGGAAGAACACCAGUAGCGAAGGCGGCUCUCUGGACUGAUACUGACGCUCAAGCGCGAAGGCUUGGGGAGCAAACAGG